UCUUCAACGUUUUUUAAGCCAAGGCCCGCUUAACUGAAAGAGAGACGAAUCAGGGAGCCCCUACUACAUAUAUUGUAGCAAAUGAAGUUGCAUAUUAAAAUGGUCCUACAAUAACUUUUGGGGCAGCCUUUUAGGGCUGCAUUGCAUACUAAGCUAUAUAAAUAGCCUAAUAAUUGUUGCUGUGAUUUUAUAAAUCAUGUUUUAUUGUUUAACACACAUGUGGAACAGUCAAUCCUUUGGGAUGAACUGUAUCUGUGGAUGGCUACCUUAGUAACUACAUUAAAAAUAGGCCAGUGAACCUAUCAUCAGUGGGGGUUUAUAUUUGCUAAUAAUAUGUUGGAAUCAUGUUAAGACUUUUAAAUUAGAUUUUUAAAAUGCUUUCAAAAAUUCAACAAUAA